rnacentral:rRNA from 1 species
AUGACGGCGCCUUCCGCCGGCGCGCCCCUUCUCCUCUUCCGCCAGGAGCCUGCGGAGCCGCGCAACCAUUCCAUCCCCACGCCCGUCGCCCCCUCUGCUCUACCCCGUCCCUGCGCCUCCUCCAUGGCUUUCCUUCCUUGCCGCCAUGGACGCGAGGGUCGAGCUCGCCGCCCUGCCGCGUCGCCAGGGCCACCGGGCACCGCAUCCUGCUGGGCCUCCCGUGCAUCGUCCUCGCCGCUGAACCGUCUCAUCUCCUUCCUCCUCGCGCGUGUCUGUGACAAGCAUCUCCAGCAGCAUGCCAUGCGGCCGCGUGUCGGUCGUCGGACCUCGACAAGUAGGACUCGGCCACCGGUGACCUGA